ACUAAAUAGAUACCCUGGUAGUCCACGCCCUAAACGAUGUCUACUAGUUGUUGGUGGAGUAAAAUCCAUGAGUAAACGCAGCUAAACGCGUGAAGUAGACCGCCUGGGGAGUACGGUCGCAAGAUUAAAACUCAAAGGAAUUGACGGGGGGCCCGCACAAGCGGUGGAUUAUGUGGAUUAAAUUCGAUGCAACGCGAAAAACCUUACCUGGCCUUGACAUGCCACUAACGAAGCAGAGAUGCAUUAGGUGCCCGUAAGGGAAAGUGGACACAGGUGCUGCAUGGCUGUCGUCAGCUCGUGUCGUGAGAUGUUGGGUUAAGUCCCGCAACGAGCGCAACCCUUGCCAUUAAUUGCCAUCAUUUAGUUGGGCACUUUAAUGGGACUGCCGGUGACAAACCGGAGGAAGGUGGGGAUGACGUCAAGUCCUCAUGGCCCUUAUGGCCAGGGCUUCACACGUAAUACAAUGGUCGGUACAGAGAGUUGCCAACCCGCGAGGGGGAGCUAAUCUCAGAAAGCCGAUCGUAGUCCGGAUUGUUCUCUGC
rnacentral:rRNA from 1 species